rnacentral:rRNA from 1 species
UACGGGGGGGGCAAGCGUUGUUCGGAAUUACUGGGCGUAAAGGGCUCGUAGGCGGCCAACUAAGUCAGACGUGAAAUCCCUCGGCUUAACCGGGGAACUGCGUCUGAUACUGGGUGGCUUGAGUUCGGGAGAGGGAUGUGGAAUUCCAGGUGUAGCGGUGAAAUGCGUAGAUAUCUGGAGGAACACCGGUGGCGAAGGCGGCAUCCUGGACCGACACUGACGCUGAUGAGCGAAAGCCAGGGGAGCAAACGGG